rnacentral:rRNA from 1 species
AUAGUAAACCUCCGGUUCUCGUUAGAUCACCGAAGUUAAGCAUCAUUGCGCGCGGUCAGUACUUGGGUGGGUGACCACCUGGGAACACCGCGUGCCGUU